rnacentral:rRNA from 1 species
AGCAGCCGCGGUAAUUCCAGCUCCAAUAGCGUAUAUUAAAGUUGUUGCAGUUAAAAAGCUCGUAGUUGAAUUUCGGGAUCAAAUUGUCGGUCGUGCCUCGGUACGCACUGGUAUUAUUGGUUCCUGCCUUCUGAAGAACCGCGAUGUCAUUAAUUUGGUGUCGUGGGGAAUCAGGACUGUUACUUUGAAAAAAUUAGAGUGUUUAAAGCAGGCUUACGCUUGAAUACAUUAGCAUGGAAUAAUGAAAUAGGACGUUUGAUUCUAUUUUGUUGGUUUCUAGGAUUGACGUAAUGAUUAAUAGGGAUAGUUGGGGGCAUUAGUAUUCAAUUGUCAGAGGUGAAAUUCUUGGAUUUAUUGAAGACUAACUACUGCGAAAGCAUUUGCCAAGGAUGUUUUCAUUAAUCAAGAACGAAAGUUAGGGGAUCGAAGACGAUCAGAUACCGUCGUAGUCUUAACCAUAAACUAUGCCGACUAGGGAUCGGAUGAUGUUAAUUUUUUAAUGACUCAUUCGGCGCCUUAC